rnacentral:rRNA from 1 species
AACGAACGCUGGCGGCAUGCCUAACACAUGCAAGUCGAACGAGACCUUCGGGUCUAGUGGCGCACGGGUGCGUAACGCGUGGGAAUCUGCCCUUGGGUUCGGAAUAACAGUUAGAAAUGACUGCUAAUACCGGAUAAUGUCUUCGGACCAAAGAUUUAUCGCCCAGGGAUGAGCCCGCGUAGGAUUAGCUAGUUGGUGAGGUAAAGGCUCACCAAGGCGACGAUCCUUAGCUGGUUUGAGAGAACGACCAGCCACACUGGAACUGAGACACGGUCCAGACUCCUACGGGAGGCAGCAGUGGGGAAUUUUGGACAAUGGGGGGCAACCCUGAUCCAGCAAUGCCGCGUGAGUGAAGAAGGCC